UGUUGCCGUUGUUGUUAUUGUUGUAGUUGUUGCUGUUGCUGUUGUAGAUCAAUAGCAUGAAUAAACUACAACAACAGCAGCGGUAACAACUACAACAACAACAACUACU
rnacentral:pre_miRNA from 14 species